GACNCNGCCCCGGACUCCUACGGGAGGCAGCAGUAGGGAAUUUUCCACAAUGGACGAAAGUCUGAUGGAGCAACGCCGCGUGAACGAUGAAGGCUCUCGGGUCGUAAAGUUCUGUUGUUAGGGACGAACAAGUGCCGUUCGAAUAGGGCGGCACCUUGACGGUACCUAACGAGAAAGCCACGGCUAACUACGUGCCAGCAGCCGCGGUAAUACGUAGGUGGCAAGCGUUGUCCGGAAUUAUUGGGCGUAAAGCGCGCGCAGGCGGUUAUGUAAGUCUGAUGUUAAAGCCCGGGGCUCAACCUCGGUCCGCAUUGGAAACUGUGUAACUUGAGUGCAGAAGAGGAAAGUGGUAUUCCACGUGUAGCGGUGAAAUGCGUAGAGAUGUGGAGGAACACCAGUGGCGAAGGCGACUNUNNNGGUCUGUAACNGAC
rnacentral:rRNA from 1 species